rnacentral:misc_RNA from 1 species
CCCCUUGGUCUCUAUGAUCCGUCAUUUGAUAAGGACUCGUGUGGGGUCGGAUUCGUGGCCGAGCUAUCCGGUGAAAACAGCCGCAAAACGGUGACAGAUGCGCUAGAGAUGUUGAUACGCAUGUCGCAUAGAGGUGCUUGUGGCUGGGGAACCGAAUACCGGGGAUGGAGCUGGGAUUCUUGUAGCUCUUCCUCACCACUUCUACAAGGAGGUUGCUAAGGAUAUCGGGUUCGAGCUGCCGCCACCUGGAGAAUAUGCAGUUGGCAUGUUCUUUUUGCCCACAUCAGACAACCGAAGGGAAGAAAGCAAAAAUGUGUUUACCAAGGUAGCGGAGUCUCUUGGGCAUACAGUCCUUGGCUGGCGACGAGUGCCGACAGACAACUCAGGAUUGGGCAAUACUGCUUUGCAGACUGAACCUGUGGUUGAGCAAGUAUUCCUCACACCUACUCCUAGGUCAAAAGC